rnacentral:rRNA from 1 species
GUCCAUGCCGUAAACGGUGGGCACUAGGUGUGGGUUCCAACUAACGGGAUCCGCGCCGUCGCUAACGCAUUAAGUGCCCCGCCUGGGGAGUACGGUCGCAAGACUAAAACUCAAAGGAAUUGACGGGGGCCCGCACAAGCAGCGGAGCGUGUUGCUUAAUUCGAUGCUACGCGAAGAACCUUACCUGGGUUUGACAUGUUUGGAAAAGCCACAGAGAUGUGGUGUCCGCAAGGGCCAAACACAGGUGGUGCAUGGCUGUCGU